CGGGACACCAUUAGACGCCACUCCAAAAUAGACCCUUUUGGCAUAAGGAUUGUUUUGAGCUGAAGGUAAUAAAGAAGCAGAUGCAGGAAAGCUCUCUGCUCUCCGUCUAUUUGCCUAACAGGGCAUAAAUUUACAAAGGCAAAAGGUAUCCCUCUACUCCUGCCUACUACCAGGGGUCUGUUACAACUAAGGACUCAUGAAGGUGGAGGAAAAAAAAUGUUUUUUCUCCCUUAUAGUUCUUCUGCACAAGAUGGACCUCAGAGACAGUUUGUGUUUGACUGUGCUUUCCCCUUCAGAAGUUGAGCUGGGACACUGGCUCAAUUAGUGUUGGUUUCAGAAUUGGAAUGAAGAAUGAAAAGUCUCUUCUCUUCUUAGGAAAUAAUUUUUCCUUUGUGCAGAAAUGUAGAAAUGAGCACAUUCAUACCAAGAUUAAAAGUGCAACCCCAAGGCAAGGGACAAUGGUGAUGAGUGAAUAACGGGAAGAGAUGCAGUAAGGGAAGAGUGCUUUCAAAAAGAAUGGUGCCAAGAACAGUGGAAGAGGGAACUUUUGUACUUUUAUGAAAGUAAUUACCAUUCAUCAAACUCCUCACAGUGGCAGACAAAUGAAUUUAAUAAUGAAUUUAAUAGUUAUAAACUCACUUUUAUGAAUCUAUCAAAUACAUUAUAUCACAUAACCUUUCUACUCUAUCUUAUAAUAAUACAGUGCCUUUUUCUGUGUUUAAAAAGUUUGUAUCUUAGCAAGAUUCAUGAAGAAGCAAUUCUAUAUCUGUUUUAAAAUUUAUGUUGUUCUGUUGAACACUGUUAUAAAAUAAAACUUGUGUUAUACCUGUAAAUUAUUGUAUUAAAGCAGUACAGGAGAGUGAUCAAGGCCAAUAGCUUUGGAGACAGUUCUUGGUCCCAGCUCUAACAUUAACUAGCUGUGUGAUCCUGAGCAAUUGUCUUACACCUCUGCUGCUCAGUUUUCUCACUUAUUAAAUGCAAAUAAUAACGUUACUUUAUAAAUUUAUAGAUUGAGAGUUUUAAAUGUGUGCAAGCAUAUUAAUGAUAUCAAUAAAUUGCCUUUGAUUAUUAUUAUGAAA
rnacentral:lncRNA from 10 species